rnacentral:rRNA from 1 species
CUCUUCGGGAUGAUUAAACCGGCGCACGGGUGAGUAACACGUGAGUGACCUGCCUUUUAGACUGGAACAACUUACCGAAAGGUGAGCUAAUGCCGGAUGAGUUAUAUAAGUGCAUGUUUAUAUAGGAAAAGUUGGGGAGACCUGACGCUGAAAGAUGGACUCGCGUCCCAUUAGCUAGUUGGUAGGGUAAUGGCCUACCAAGGCGACGAUGGGUAGCCGGCCUGAGAGGGUGGCCGGCCACACUGGGACUGAGACACGGCCCAGACUCCUACGGGAGGCAGCAGUGGGGAAUUUUGCGCAAUGCUCGUAAGAGUGACGCAGCGACGCCGCGUGAAUGACGAAGGCCUUCGGGUCGUAAAGUUCUUUCGACAGGGAAGAAAAUGCCUAUAAGUAACUGUGUAUGUAUUGACGGUACCUGUAUAAGCAGCCCCGGCUAACUCCGUGCCAGCAGCCGCGGUAAUACGGAGGGGGCGAGCGUUGUUCGGAGUGACUGGGCGUAAAGAGCACGUAGGCGGUGUUGUAAGUCAUUAGUCAAAGACUAGAGCUCAACUUUAGUAAGGCUAGUGAUACUAUAAUACUAGAGUAUCAGAGAGGAUUGCAGAAUUCCUGGUGUAGCGGUGAAAUGCGUAGAUAUCAGGAGGAAUACCGUUAGCGAAGGCGGCAAUCUGGCUGGAAACUGACGCUGAGGUGCGAAAGCGUGGGUAGCAAACAGGAUUAGAUACCCUGGUAGUCCACGCUGUAAACGAUGGAUGCUAGGUGUUGGGCUUUUAAGUUCAGUGCCGCAGCAAACGCGAUAAGCAUCCCGCCUGGGG